rnacentral:tRNA from 1 species
CAAGAAAUAGUUUAUUUAAAAUAUUAAUUUUGGAGAUUAAAGAUAAGAAGAUUUCUUUUUCUUGA